rnacentral:rRNA from 2 species
GGUGAGUAACACGUGAGCAACCUGCCCUUGACUCUGGGAUAAGCGCUGGAAACGGCGUCUAAUACUGGAUAUGAGACGUGAUCGCAUGGUCGUGUUUGGAAAGAUUUUUCGGUCUGGGAUGGGCUCGCGGCCUAUCAGCUUGUUGGUGAGGUAAUGGCUCACCAAGGCGUCGACGGGUAGCCGGCCUGAGAGGGUGACCGGCCACACUGGGACUGAGACACGGCCCAGACUCCUACGGGAGGCAGCAGUGGGGAAUAUUGCACAAUGGGCGGAAGCCUGAUGCAGCAACGCCGCGUGAGGGAUGACGGCCUUCGGGUUGUAAACCUCUUUUAGCAGGGAAGAAGCGAAAGUGACGGUACCUGCAGAAAAAGCGCCGGCUAACUACGUGCCAGCAGCCGCGGUAAUACGUAGGGCGCAAGCGUUAUCCGGAAUUAUUGGGCGUAAAGAGCUCGUAGGCGGUUUGUCGCGUCUGCUGUGAAAUCCCGAGGCUCAACCUCGGGCCUGCAGUGGGUACGGGCAGACUAGAGUGCGGUAGGGGAGAUUGGAAUUCCUGGUGUAGCGGUGGAAUGCGCAGAUAUCAGGAGGAACACCGAUGGCGAAGGCAGAUCUCUGGGCCGUAACUGACGCUGAGGAGCGAAAGGGUGGGGAGCAAACAGGCUUAGAUACCCUGGUAGUCCACCCCGUAAACGUUGGGAACUAGUUGUGGGGACCAUUCCACGGUU